CAAACUGCCACCAUCUUCUCUGCAGCUGCACGUUCACUGUCGCCAGUUAUGAAUGAGUUCGUACUCAGCGAUGCGUCUCUGGGCUGCACGUAGCCGAAUGUCCACAGAGGUCACUCGGACAUACGGUAGUUCUACGUGUUACAUUUACCUGCAUCUCAACAGGAACUGAAUCAACCAAUCAACUUGUUUAACGAGCAGGUCGUUGAGAUUUGGAAAGUGUGCAUGUUGACCUACAGUUACCCACAACACCAUUCUCUGCGUAGCUUCGCAGACACGUUAAUGUGCAUCUUUGGAGAAGUUUAAGUCAUGACAGAUGCAGUUGCCCUUCAACACAGUAGGGGGCAGUGUGACUAAUCUAAUCUGCAGCGAACAUGUCAGAGUAUUUUAUGAGAUUCUGACUUGUAAAUAUUGUUCACAGCAACUUCUGAUGAAUCCGACCUGGCACUUCCUAAUACAGAAGAACCUGAAAAUCAAACAAAUAUGGACGCUUCACAUCAGCCAAAGUCUGUGGUUCGUGGUGAUUAAACCCACAUUUAAUGAAUAUGGUGUUAUAUUAUAAUUCUGUAGUCAUACAGUCGUCUCUUCAUAUUGCAAUGUCGCCGCUGUUGCAUGUUGACUUUCUGCUGGCGGUGUGUUUCUGAAGGAGGUGGAGGAGGACGUGAUUGGCUCGAAGGAACGCAGACAAACGAGCCAAUCAGCUACAAGGAGCCACGGCUGCAGACGACGAUGUUUUUUAGUCGUUAUGUCAUUGUAGAGGUUUACAGGUUGAAGUGAACUGAAAAAUCCUCAUUUGCUAGUUGCUGUGGGCAGAUAUCAAAGAUAUUACAGACUGAAAUAUGACUGAGAACAAAUUCUAAAACUUAAAGAAUCACAGUGUCGGUGGUCCGUUCAGUCAGUCGGUUGGUUUUCCAACAAACAAACCGAAGUCAGUGUAAAAUAUUGCUGACUAGCUAUUUGGCUGCUCAGAGCCUGGAGGUGAACAGAAGGACAGUCUGCGGAGGCCUUUUUCUUCAUCUCGUCCCCUGCGAUGAAACCGACACUGUCAGCGCGUCUCAUCGGUAUCUUUGGACGAGGACGUGUUGACAGAGGAGAGCAUGAAGACGUGGCCCUGCAGGAGGUCGGCGUCCAGUAGUUUCCACCGUGUGUUUAAUUGCGGUGUCUCGUUCAGCGAGGGCGACCAAUUAAAGGCCAGGAUUUCAUCCGAGACUCAGCCGGACCACCUUCAAGGUGUUCAUGCACAAAACAUAACGUCUGAAAAUCAGACUUAUAUCAGAAGAAUUUGGAGUGUUUUAUACAGAGCCUCGAUUUAAUAAUUCCUGCUAUCAUUUGAUAUCAUUUCAUAUAUUUUACUUUCUCUCCUCGCUUGGAUUGUGGAGAUAUGUGGAUACACUUAAACACAACAUGUGUUAUCUCUGUUAUCUUCCCUUGAAUGCGUUUUACAGAAUAACUUCUUCUUCUUUUUCAAACUUUUUGCUGACGUGCAAAAGACCUUUAUGGCAAAAAAUAUAAAAAUAUUUUAAAUCGAGAGCGCAAAUGAGUUUUUUCCGCCUCAGUGACCCCUAGUUCAUCUGUAGUUGUCCUGUAAACUUCUUUUUAAUGAAUAAUAAAUAAAGGUUAUUAUUGAAAUGAUUAUGAAGUCAGGUUCGGUCCUGACAGACUCUGAUUGGUGGAGCUUGUUGGGGGCGGGACAUGCUGCCUGGAAGACUGAACUCAGGGAAUAAAAAGCUUGUUGUGACUCAGCUGAAGCUUCACUCUGAUCCACUGCAGAUGGAGGCGGAGCUACAGCAGAUCCUGGUCCAGGUGUCCGACCUGCAGCACUGGAGG